GAUGAACGCUGGCGGCGUGCCUAAUACAUGCAAGUCGAGCGAACAGACGAGGAGCUUGCUCCUCUGACGUUAGCGGCGGACGGGUGAGUAACACGUGGAUAACCUACCUAUAAGACUGGGAUAACUUCGGGAAACCGGAGCUAAUACCGGAUAAUAUAUUGAACCGCAUGGUUCAAUAGAGAAAUACGGUUUUGCUGUCACUUAUAGAUGGAUCCGCGCCGCAUUAGCUAGUGGGUAAGGUAACGGCUUACCAAGGCAACGAUGCGUAGCCGACCUGAGAGGGUGAUCGGCCACACUGGAAGUGAGACACGGUCCAGAGUCCUACGGGAGGCAGCAGUCGGGAAUCUGCCGCAAUGGGCGAAAGCCUGACGGAGCAACGCCGCGUGGGUGAUGAAGGUGUUCGGAUCGUAAAACUCUGUUAUUGGGGAAGAACAAAUGUGUAAGUAACUAUGGACGUCUUGACGGUACCUAAUCAGAAAGCCACGGCUAACUACGUG
rnacentral:rRNA from 1 species